rnacentral:rRNA from 1 species
CCUACGGGAGGCAGCAGUGGGGAAUAUUGGGCAAUGGACGCAAGUCUGACCCAGCAACGCCGCGUGAAGGAAGAAGGCUUUCGGGUUGUAAACUUCUUUUAUGGGGGACGAGCAGAAGACGGUAACCCUUGAAUUAGCCACGGCUAACUACGUGCCAGCAGCCGCGGUAAUACGUAGGUGGCAAGCGUUGUCCGGAUUUACUGGGUGUAAAGGGCGUGCAGCCGGGCCGACAAGUCAGAUGUGAAAUCCUCGGGCUUAACCCGCGAACUGCAUUUGAAACUUUUGGUCUUGAGUGCCGGAGAGGUCAUCGGAAUUCCUUGUGUAGCGGUGAAAUGCGUAGAUAUCACGCAGAACCCCGAUGGCGAAGGCAGCAUGCCGGUGCACAACUGACGCUCAGGCACGAAAGCGUGGGUAUCGAACAGGAUUAGAUACCCGGGUAGUC